CCAUUGGCUUCGCCGGAAAAUCCUUGUGUCGCGAUCGCGUCCGUUGCCUUGGCUAUAUAGAUAUAUGGCAUAUAGCCACACCGCCGAUGUGCGAAUAUUUUGAGCUAAAAUAUAUAUAUUUGUGCGCUGAAUAAAUACGCAAGUACACAACACACACACAUACUAUCUUUGUGAGCAAUCGCUGCGAACGUGAGAAUUGCAAGUUCGCUGUGUAGUUGUUGUAACAUCGAUGUGGAGUGUCAAUUAUGUGGAAAUAUAUUUACAAAGAUGCCCCCAGUGCGAGUGCGUGCGUGUGUGUGUGAGUUCUCCUGGCACUGAAUGUCACUAAAAGAGCGAAAGGGAGAGAGCAAGAGUGUGGGAGUGGAAGUGGGGCUGCUCUCUUUCCAGUGCGUGUAGAUCAGUUACCGCCAGCACCAACAGCAACAACAGCAACAAAUACAACAAACAAACAAACAAGCGACAAUUCACAUUCAUUUCCAUUCAUUGCUGCGAUUAUCGCCAGUUUUGCUUUACUCUUUCACCACGCACGAAUACGAAUCAGUGGGUGAAAAGAAGUGGAAGUGAGUGUGGAGAGUGUGAAGAGUGGAAAGCUGAAAAGAGAGCACAAUCAAAUCAAAUCCAAAAAGAAAAGAGAGUGUCGCGUGUGAACCGUAAGAAAAUGCGAAAGGGGAGCGGAUAAGGGCAUUGAAGCGAAUGAAGAGGAAGCAGCAACAGUCCGAAAGUUCGCUCUGGGCACGCCCCCUUAUGACGCCCCCUGUGACGCGUUAUCAGCGGACACCCAACAAACACAAAGACUUGACCAAAAUCCACACAAAAUGGCGGUAAACUCGAGUGCCAGAGAAUCGCCGCGGGCCUAAAAAAAAGUUCGUUCUCUUUAACCAAAAAAAAAAACAAAACAAAAAAGGAGGUAAACAAACUCGUUUUUGCCCCACAACAACCUACGUUACCACCCUCCCCUGAAAAUCCAAAGAUCCCGCCGAACCCACCAGAAUCAGCGAUAAGCAUCCCAAAGUUUGGGUGGCCCAGUCCACAGAAAACCCCGCACCAAACCCGAAACAAUCGCCUAAGAUGUGUUCCCGCAACAUAAAGAUCUCGGUGGUGCUGUUUCUCGUCUUGAUACCAAUCUUCGCCGCCUUGCCACACAACCACAAUCUGUCGAAGCGCAGCAAUUUCUUCGAUCUGGAGUGCAAGGGCAUCUUCAACAAGACCAUGUUCUUCCGACUGGAUCGCAUCUGCGAGGAUUGCUAUCAGUUGUUCCGCGAGACGAGUAUACACCGAUUAUGCAAGAAAGACUGCUUUGAUUCAAAAUGGUUUGGCUCAUGCCUGAAAGUGCUGUUAAUACCCGAAGAGGAAAUUUCGAACUUACAGCACUUUCUGAGAGUAGUGAAUGGCUCGCCCAUAUCCUUCAACAUGGCGCCGGAAACAUAACUCUAAGUUCCCGCCCCGCCCCCUCACACACACACACACACACACGCCCAAAAGCUCACCCAAACACACACACACACAGAUGAAAAUCGCUGCAAGUAAGGUGGAAGGGAUACAUAUAUCCAAUCCAACUACAAACCACAAAUGCAGAGCCAGAACAAAGAAAUCUAAAAUAUUAAAACGCCCAAAUUUAAUUCGUACUUAUUUAUUACUGUAUGCCUAACAGUUUUUAGUAUAUGUGUUUUUUUAAAAACGAAUUAUUUUUAUUAAUUUAUUGAGAACGUUAUGCGUUUGUUGUAAGUAACAUAAUCGGGCGAGUGAGAGAUAAGCGAAGAUAUGAUAUGAUAUGAUAUGAUGUUGAGAGGUUCGCAGAUCUCAUAGCUCCCCAAAAAUUCAAAUAGAAGCCGAAGUAUUUAUUUUUAAGUAUUCUUAGCUUGUUUUAUUAUUAUUGCGUUAUGCGUUAUGUAUAUAAAAUAAACAAAACGAAAUCCAUUGUUUUUAAUCUAUGUAAUGUAAAAUGAUUACUUUUAUUUUUGUAUUUGUAUUCUAUUGUAAAAUCAGCAUUUAAAAUUUACAUUUUACACGAUUUUCCGCAAGGGCGAAAAGAUAAAGAUAAAAGAUAAUAUACACACACACACACACACAUACACCGCACACGAGACCGAAAGUAUUUUGCAAAUGUAUUACCCUUACAAUUUUGUGCUAUUUUGUAAAGAUUAAAACCCUAACUAGCAUAAAUCUGUUGGCGAAAAGAGCAAAUAUAUGCCUACAUAUAUAACUAUCUAAAAACGCUAAAUCCUACAUUUAUCCGAAUACGAGUACACUACAAAUAUUUACAAAAAAAAAGAAUACGCAAGAACGCAAUUUGUGCAAGACACAAACAAAAACCCCUGGUAAAAACACGCGAGAAAGGACUGCAUUACAAAUGUGGCCAUAUCGAUUAUAAACCCAUGUAAAAUAAUAAAAGAUAAUCAUUCGCUGGCUAUUUGAGAGCAUCAAAAUUGUGAUAAAUGAGAAUUAGAAUGCGAAUGCACGACGCAAAACGGCCAGAGAUCCACAGAACCGAAAGGGGAUCGCUAUAGAGGCGGCGAAAGAGACACACAGCCGCCAGAGAAAGAGAUCGCCAUAGAGGAGGCGAAAGAGACGGACAUACAGCAGCUGGCGACUUGCGCGCGUUUUAGGCGCGACUAUAAACGCCUGCUUACCGUUUUUGUUUGGCAAGAAUGCUUCGGAUCGCCCUUCUUCAACGCCUGCAUAGAGGCUCUUCAGCUGCACGAGGAGAUGGACAAGUAUAACGAAUGGCGCGAUACCCUGGGACGCAAGUAAACUGCGAAUAUCUACGAUUUUCUGGCACCGUCACUGGCACGAGCAGCUACUUAAUUCUAUAAACUAUUAACUAAAACUAUUAUUAUUGAUAACUGUGGCAGAACACGGCACGAAAAAAUGGCAACCAGGAAACGAUCAACCCGAGGAAUGUGUACCACUUAAGGAAAUAAAUAAAUUAAAUAGCAAGAGAAAAAGCAGAUCAAAAAUUAAAAAAAAAAAAAAUGAUGAAAACAGUUACUAAAACUAUUACACGAUACUUAUCCACACCGAUAUUGAAAAGUGAAAAUUGGUCUAUAUUUAUUUCUAUUAUUACCCCCAUCAUGCACAUCGAUCCGUUAAUCAGUCUCGUGGAGCUUUUAGUUUUAGAAAAAACGACGAGAAUUAUGCUAACUUUUUUCAGUUCUUCGCGCAAGAGCAGAGCAAGAAAAGAAAGCCAACAGGAAAAAAUGAAAACGAACGAACGAACAAGAAUCAAAAUGUCUGAUGUAAAUAAAUUAUUUUGUCUUCUUUUAAAGAUUUCUAUACAUACAUAUUUAUAACGCCUAACUAUUUUGUACAUUUCUUUUAUUUCGUAAGUUUAAGUUAACUUGUUACGGCAAUAAAUUUUACGUUCCACCACAUCCCCCACAUUUGCACCCCGCGCAAUAGAACCGAAAACACACAUCCGAAAGCGAGAAACCCCAAACCCAAAUUCAAUUCGAUUCUAUGUACUAUUGCAUAUGCCCUACAAUUACAUAACUAUUAAUUAAUUUAAACUUGUUUGGAUCUAGUCGUAAAAUAUAAAUAAAGAUUGUAUAUUUCAAGAGGA